GACGGGAGGGGCAGGCGUUAUUCAUCUUUACUGGGCGUAAAGGGUGUGUAGGUUGUUUUAUGCUGUUUUUGACAAAAUUUUAUGUUAAUCUAAAUAUGUCGAUUAAAUACGGUAAAACUAAGAGUGUAUAAGAGGAUAAUAGUACUCACAGUGUAGAGGUGAAAUUCGGUGAUAUUGUUGGGGACUAUCGGAGGCGAAAGCGAUUAUCUAUAAUAUACUGACGCUGAGACACUAAAGCAUGGGUAUCAAACAGG
rnacentral:rRNA from 1 species